rnacentral:rRNA from 1 species
GUCUAUGGCCAUACUACCCUGAACAAGCCUGAUCCCGUCUGAUCUUGGAAGCUAAGCAGGGUCAGACCUGGUUAGUACUUGGAUGGGAGACCACCUAGGAAGACCAGGUGCUGUAGGCA